rnacentral:rRNA from 1 species
AGUGAACGCUGGCGGUAGGCCUAACACAUGCAAGUCGAACGGCAGCACAGUAAGAGCUUGCUCUUACGGGUGGCGAGUGGCGGACGGGUGAGGAAUACAUCGGAAUCUACUUUUUCGUGGGGGAUAACGUAGGGAAACUUACGCUAAUACCGCAUACGACCUACGGGUGAAAGCAGGGGAUCUUCGGACCUUGCGCGAUUGAAUGAGCCGAUGUCGGAUUAGCUAGUUGGCGGGGUAAAGGCCCACCGAGGCGACGAUCCGUAGCUGGUCUGAGAGGAUGAUCAGCCACACUGGAAAUGAGACACGGUCCAGACUCCUACGGGAGGCAGCAGUGGGGAAUAUUGGACAAUGGGCGCAAGCCUGAUCCAGCCAUACCGCGUGGGUGAAGAAGGCCUUCGGGUUGUAAAGCCCUUUUGUUGGGAAAGAAAAGCAGCAGGUUAAUACCCCGCUGUUCUGACGGUACCCAAAGAAUAAGCACCGGCUAACUUCGUG